UACGUAGGGUGCAAGCGUUGUCCGGAAUUAUUGGGCGUAAAGCGCGUGUAGGCGGCUUGUUAAGUUGGUUGUGAAAACCCAUGGCUCAACCAUGGAAGUGCGUCCAAAACUGGCAAGCUAGAGUUCUGACGAGGAUGGCGGAAUUCCCAGUGUAGAGGUGAAAUUCGUAGAUAUUGGGAGGAACACCGGUGGCGAAGGCGGCCAUCUGGGAAGAUACUGACGCUGAGACGCGAAAGCGUGGGGAGCAAACAGG
rnacentral:rRNA from 1 species